UACGUAGGGUGCAAGCGUUAAUCGGAAUUACUGGGCGUAAAGCGUGCGCAGGCGGUUUUAUAAGUCAGAUGUGAAAUCCCCGGGCUCAACCUGGGAACUGCAUUUGUGACUGUAGAGCUGGAGUACGGUAGAGGGGGAUGGAAUUCCGCGUGUAGCAGUGAAAUGCGUAGAUAUGCGGAGGAACACCGAUGGCGAAGGCAAUCCCCUGGACCUGUACUGACGCUCAUGCACGAAAGCGUGGGGAGCAAACAGG
rnacentral:rRNA from 1 species